rnacentral:rRNA from 1 species
GACGAACGCUGGCGGCGUGCUUAACACAUGCAAGUCGAGCGGUAGGGCCCUUUCGGGGGUACACGAGCGGCGAACGGGUGAGUAACACGUGGGUGACCUGCCCUCAGCUCUGGGAUAAGCCUGGGAAACCGGGUCUAAUACCGGAUAUGACUCCAUGACGCAUGUUGUGGGGUGGAAAGCCUUGUGCGGCUGAGGAUGGGCCCGCGGCCUAUCAGCUUGUUGGUGGGGUGAUGGCCUACCGAAGGCGGCGACGGGUAGCCGGCCUGAGAGGGCGACCGGCCACACUGGGACUGAGACACGGCCCAGACUCCUACGGGAGGCAGCAGUGGGGAAUCUUGCGCAAUGGGCGAAAGCCUGACGCAGCGACGCCGCGUGAGGGAUGACGGCCU